rnacentral:rRNA from 1 species
GACGAACGCUGGCGGCGUGCUUAACACAUGCAAGUCGAACGGAAAGGCCCUGCUCUUGUGGGGUGCUCGAGUGGCGAAAGGGUGAGUAACACGUGAGUAACCUGCCCUUGACUUUGGGAUAACUUCAGGAAACUGGGGCUAAUACCGGACAGGAGCUCCUGCUGCAUGGUGGGGGUUGGAAAGUUUCGGCGGUUGGGGAUGGACUCGCGGCUUAUCAGCUUGUUGGUGGGGUAGUGGCUUACCAAGGCUUUGACGGGUAGCCGGCCUGAGAGGGUGACCGGCCACAUUGGGACUGAGAUACGGCCCAGACUCCUACGGGAGGCAGCAGUGAGGAAUAUUGCACAAUGGGCGGAAGCCUGAUGCAGCAACUUCGCGUGCGGGAUGACGGCCCGCGGGUUGUAAACCGCUUUCGCCUGGGACGAAGCGUGAGUGACGGUAAUGGGUAAAGAAGCACCGGCUAACUACGUG